UGGGUUCUUUGCCCCAUAACACCUCUGGGCAGCCACCAGAGGGCUCUGGGGCAGAUGCAUCCAGUGGAAAGACCGAGUUGGAAAUGACAGGGCUGGCACCUGCCUCCUCACUGAAGUCUGGGAAAUCAGGAAAUUGACUGAAGAAUUCUUAGAAUUUACUCUACUUUUCAACUACACCAUUUUACAUUCCUACCAGUGAGAGAACCCACAGGAGUGGUCUGUGAGUGGUACUGGGGAAACUGGGGGGAGAUGGCUCAGCAGAAUUGUCUGGACAGAGGUCACCGUCCUCACUGGAGACGCUAUGAUUAAACAGCAACAGCCUGAAGCUGAAACCCCCCCUUAAGAGCUCUGU